rnacentral:rRNA from 1 species
UUCUGGCUCAGGACGAACGCUGGCGGCGUGCUUCAUACAUGCAAGUCGAACGAGAAGCUUACUUCGGUAAGUGGAAAGUGGUGGACGGGUGAGUAAUGUGUAGAGAAUCUGCCCUGAAGUGGGGGACAACAGAGGGAAACUUCUGCUAAUACCCCAUAUGAGCGUAGUUGCGAUACUAUUCUUGAAAGAUUUAUCGCUUCAGGAUGAGUCUGCAUCUGAUUAGCUAGUUGGGGGUGUAAUGGACCACCAAGGCGACGAUCAGUAGCUGGUUUGAGAGGAUGAUCAGCCACAAUGGGACUGAGACACGGCCCAUACCCCUACGGGAGGCAGCAGUAGGGAAUUUUGCGCAAUGGGCGAAAGCCUGACGCAGCAAACCGCCGCGUGAUCGCAGACGGCCUUCGGGUUGUAAAGAUCUGUCAGUAGGGACGAACAAUGACUGUACCUACAGAGGAAGCACCGGCUAACUCCGUGCCAGCCGCUGC